GACGAACGCUGGCGGCGUGCUUAACACAUGCAAGUCGAACGGAAAGGCCCUGCUUUUGUGGCGUGCUCGAGUGGCGAACGGGUGAGUAACACGUGAGUAACCUGCCCUUGACUUUGGGAUAACUUCAGGAAACUGGGGCUAAUACCGGAUAGGAGCUCCUGCUGCAUGGUGGGGGUUGGAAAGUUUCGGCGGUUGGGGUUGGACUCGCGGCUUAUCAGCUUGUUGGUGGGGUAGUGGCUUACCAAGGCUUUGACGGGUAGCCGGCCUGAGAGGGUGACCGGCCACAUUGGGACUGAGAUACGGCCCAGACUCCUACGGGAGGCAGCAGUGGGGAAUAUUGCACAAUGGGCGGAAGCCUGAUGCAGCAACGCCGCGUGCGGGAUGACGGCCUUCGGGUUGUAAACCGCUUUCGCCUGUGACGAAGCGUGAGUGACGGUAAUGGGUAAAGAAGCACCGGCUAACUACGUG
rnacentral:rRNA from 1 species